CAUUGAAACACUGGUUUCUGUACGAUCAUCAUAGUUAAACAACAUUGAGCAUGGCUAGUACUUAGAUGGGUGACUGCUUGGGAAUACCAGGUACUGUAA